rnacentral:rRNA from 1 species
GACGAACGCUGGCGGCGUGCUUAACACAUGCAAGUCGAACGGAAAGGCCCUGCUUUUGUGGGGUGCUCGAGUGGCGAACGGGUGAGUAACACGUGAGUAACCUGCCCUUGACUUUGGGAUAACUUCAGGAAACUGGGGCUAAUACCGGAUAGGAGCUCCUGCUGCAUGGUGGGGGUUGGAAAGUUUCGGCGGUUGGGGAUGGACUCGCGGGUUAUCAGCUUGUUGGUGGGGUAGUGGCUUACCAAGGCUUUGACGGGUAGCCGGCCUGAGAGGGUGACCGGCCACAGUGGGACUGAGAUACGGCCCAGACUCCUACGGGAGGCAGCAGUGGGGAAUAUUGCACAAUGGGCGGAAGCCUGAUGCAGCAACGCCGCGUGCGGGAUGACGGCCUUCGGGUUGUAAACCGCUUUCGCCUGUGACGAAGCGUGAGUGACGGUAAUGGGUAAAGAAGCACCGGCUAACUACGUG